rnacentral:rRNA from 1 species
UACGGGGGGAGCAAGCGUUGUUCGGAUUUACUGGGCGUAAAGGGCGCGUAGGCGGCCAGCACAAGUCAGUUGUGAAAUCUCCGAGCUUAACUCGGAAGGUCACUGAUACUGUGCGGCUAGAGUGCAGAAGGGGCAACUGGAAUUCUUGGUGUAGCGGUGAAAUGCGUAGAUAAUCAGGAAGAACACCCGUGGCGAAGGCGGCUCUCUGGGACGGUACUGACGCUGAGACGCGAAAGCGUGGGGAGCGAACAGG